rnacentral:lncRNA from 1 species
GUGGUGCUUCUGGGGAUGGUACUGGAGGGCUUGAUUGGAUCGGAAGUUGUUCAUACUUUACAAUCCAAGGGAGAGUGGUGCUAAAAUUGGGUGGCUCUAGAAGUGUAUUUACUUCUCUGCUAUACUCAUCAUUGUCAAAAUCAUCCACUCCAAAGUGUGCUAAGUAUGCCUGUAAAGGGUCUGAGUCGAGCAAGAUGGGGGUUCUGUCCUCUACAAAUUCCUCUAACAAAUUGAUCUCACCAUGGUCAAAAGUGGAUGGUCCCUAUGCUACAUUAAAAAUAUUCAACCUCAGC